CCUGUGCCGUAGCCGCUUAGCACCGCCCGACACCUCCUGGCACAGCCGAGCCCUCUCCCGAUCUCCCAUACUUCGUGCCCUAGCCCCGGUUUGGCACCGCUGACCAUCAGAUCCCUACCUUCAAUCGCCAACCUAAUUUCAAGAUUGGUGCUAGACUUGAUCCUUGGUCCGACAGGAAGUUUCUGAUCAAGUAGAUUUAUCCGGCAAUGUGACCGAAAGGUAAGGGUUGAGGGUUUGAUUUUAUGCUCAGUUAUGGAAGCGUUGAUUUUGAUCUAGGGGUGUUGGGUUGCAGAUUGUUAGUUGUGGCAAUUCUUAUGGGGUCGAGGAUUUCUGUUAGAGUUCGUACAAGUCAUCUUUUCCGGCAGCAACCUUCUACAGCAGCGUAUCAUCAGCUGAGGAUUUAAAGGAGGUGCAGCGGGUUUACUUUGGUUUUGGCUGAGUUUCCAGCAGCAUACAGAUUCAUCUAUUCAAUUGUGGGUCAACAGAAAUUCAUCUGGUUUUAGGAUGUUGAUUCGGGACGAG